ensembl:lncRNA
UGGCAGCAGGAGAUGAAGGGAGAGGGAGGAGGUGGCAAGACAAAACCCAAUUUCCCCCCCCUUCCUUUUUAAUUCUUUCUUCUGGUGUGUCUGCUCCACCGCCUGGCUAAUCCCCCAAAUCCGGUCUCCUAAGCUGCAGCUGCUUCCCUGCCGCAGUGAUGAAUGGCUCAGGGAGGGAAGAUCUCCUCCAGUGAAUGGCCCUGAGCCAGGAAUAGGGAAUGCCCCAGUUCACCUUUGCCUGCUUCUGUGGACUCCAUGGCUUCUGCAAAAUGAAGAGGAAGAAAGAGGAUACCCACAGGCAUCGGGAGACAGCAGUGAGAAGUCUUCAGUUCAAAAAUCAACAAAACGAAUGAAUUAUGAAAUAGAAGAGAGUAACAAUCUUGUACCUCUUCAUAAAAAGUUAUCUUCAGUUCAUUCUGUGGAUGGUGAUAUUGACAUCUAUUAUCCUGAUCCCAGCACUCACAGAGGAAUAAGUUAAUCCUAGAGUGACUGAAAGCUGCCUGCUUUUUGCCUCCUGAUUCAGGGAGAGGGAAGAAUCUGAGCCAGCCACGUGAUGAUUAUCUAAAAAGUGGCUUCUGGAGAGUACAAAUGAACCAUGUGGGAAUUUGUAUUAAGGGCAUCGAGGCUGGCUGUCCUGUGAUUUUGAAUGCGUCUGCUCUUUUCAUUUGCAUAUCUGAUGAUAAUCCUUUAUUGAUCUCUCUGCCUCUGCUCCUCCUUUCCCACUUGUGUUAUUCCUCUAUGAUGUCAGACCUUAUUUUUUCUUUAGAACUCUAAUUCGAUGACUUCUAAUUGAAUGCUCUAGCUGGCUAAUGGCUCUUAUUCAACUGCAAGAUUGACAUUUACUUAUUUGAUUCCCACCUCUCUAUCCCCUCUCUGGCCUUCUUUGUGAAGAGAGCUUAAAUUAGGCAGGAUCUCACAUCCAGUACCUUUUUUUGUAUUUUAGCUUCAGCCUCUCCCUCCUUUUUUUUUUUUUGCCAAAUUGUGAAGGGCCUUGGAAAUAUGCCCUUGACUGAUAAGUCCCGACCCCUGCAGAUGAGCACAGCUCUGCUGCUUGUCUGCUUCCCAGGAUCCCAGCUGACUCUGAGCUAUCUUUCUUUGUUUGGUUUUUAACCUGGACCUGAGUCUGUUGGUAUUAGAUGGAAAAAAAAAAACUUUAUUCUUGUCAGAAAAUAUCACUGCCAAAAUAUUUAUUGUUACCUCUUAUAUCUGAGAAGGUUCUAGGUUAAAUAUUGAACCCGCCUGUUUCUAAGGAAUUGCGGGUAUAAUUUUAAUGUUGUACUAUGACAUUAUCUUUAAUGACAAUCUUAGUUCUCUCAAAAAAUAACUUUUUCAUCAUAUUCCCAUCCUUCCUAUCCCCAAAUACAGAUAUGCCUCUUUUCAGUAAAUAAUGGAUAGCAGGGUUAAAACUUCAUUCCUUCGUUCUGACUUUAUCUCAGCAUUUACACCUUUAACAAGGCUUGUAAAACAACAACAAAAAAAAAUUGUCCCUUUAUAUCGUGUAACUUAAAAUAUGAGCCAAACAUGUGUAACCAAUAUCAGAUUGCUUACUGUGUUGGAGUGGGAGGUAGGGAAGAAGAGAGAGGAUAGAAUUUGGAACUCAAAACUUUAAAACAAAAUGUUAAAAAUUGUUUUAACGUGUAAUUGGGGGAAAUAAAAUGUUAUUUUAAAAAUAAAAUAAAAUGUAA